rnacentral:rRNA from 1 species
CCUAUCGGGAGGCAGCAGUGAGGAAUAUUGGACAAUGGGCGCAAGCCUGAUCCAGCCAUGCCGCGUGCAGGAAGACGGUCCUAUGGAUUGUAAACUGCUUUUAUACAGGAAGAAACACUCCGACGUGUCGGAGCUUGACGGUACUGUAGGAAUAAGGAUCGGCUAACUCCGUGCCAGCAGCCGCGGUAAU